rnacentral:rRNA from 1 species
GUACACUCCUGCGGGAGGCAGCAGUGGGGAAUAUUGCACAAUGGGCGCAAGCCUGAUGCAGCCAUGCCGCGUGUAUGAAGAAGGCCUUCGGGUUGUAAAGUACUUUCAGCGGGGAGGAAGGCGAUAAGGUUAAUAACCUUGUCGAUUGACGUUACCCGCAGAAGAAGCACCGGCUAACUCCGUGCCAGCAGCCGCGGUAAUACGGAGGGUGCAAGCGUUAAUCGGAAUUACUGGGUGUAAAGCGCACGCAGGCGGUCUGUCAAGUCGGAUGUGAAAUCCCCGGGCUCAACCUGGGAACUGCAUUCGAAACUGGCAGGCUAGAGUCUUGUAGAGAGGGGUAGAAUUCCAGGUGUAGCGGUGAAAUGCGUAGAGAUCUGGAGGAAUACCGGUGGCGAAGGCGGCCCCCUGGACAAAGACUGACGCUCAGGUGCGAAAGCGUGGGGAGCAAACAGGAUUAGAAACCCUUGUAGUCCCAUG